GAACUUUACUUGGAUGGAGAGGAUAAUUCUGGCCGGUAUGGUUGACCUGGUGGAACAGAGAACUGUUCGCAUUUCCUGUGAAUGCGAUAAGUCCACAGGAAAAGGGCGUGAGCCACCGGCUGCCAUGGUUCGGCCGUUGCCGUCGUCGUGAGGCAAUCGAUGGGCGCGGUGGAAAUGUUCGCGAGGGAACAGCGAGCGGUGGAGCUGUCUCGUGUCAAAUUCUGAACCUGAGCUUCCUCAUACAUUUUAUUUUUCGUCACUGACACAAAAGACUUUUACAAAAAAAAACAGUACUUUUCGCCGUGCGUGCUGUCAGGCAAGCAAUUUCUCAUCUUACACAGCGAAGCUGCUAGACU
rnacentral:lncRNA from 1 species